rnacentral:rRNA from 1 species
UACGGAGGGUGCAAGCGUUAUCCGGAUUCACUGGGUUUAAAGGGUGUGUAGGCGGGCUGUUAAGUCAGUGGUGAAAUCUCCAGGCUCAACCUGGAAACUGCCAUUGAUACUAUCAGUCUUGAAUAUCGUUGAGGUGGGCAGAAUAUGUCAUGUAGCGGUGAAAUGCAUAGAUAUGACAUAGAAUACCGAUUGCGAAGGCAGCUCACUAAGCGUGUAUUGACGCUGAGGCACGAAAAGCGUGGGGAUCAAACAGG